CCUACGGGGGGCAGCAGUGGGGAAUAUUGGACAAUGGGGGGAACCCUGAUCCAGCGACGCCGCGUGAGUGAAGAAGUAAUUCGUUAUGUAAAGCUCUAUCAGCAGGGAAGAAGAAAGUGACGGUACCUGACUAAGAAGCCCCGGCUAACUACGUGCCAGCAGCCGCGGUAAUACGUAGGGGGCAAGCGUUAUCCGGAUUUACUGGGUGUAAAGGGAGCGUAGACGGUAAUGCAAGUCUGGAGUGAAAGGCGGGGGCCCAACCCCCGGACUGCUCUGGAAACUGUGAUACUGGAGUGCAGGAGAGGUAAGUGGAAUUCCUAGUGUAGCGGUGAAAUGCGUAGAUAUUAGGAGGAACACCAGUGGCGAAGGCGGCUUACUGGACUGUAACUGACGUUGAGGCUCGAAAGCGUGGGGAGCAAACAGGAUUAGAUACCCGAG
rnacentral:rRNA from 1 species